AUUGAACGCUGGCGGCAGGCCUAACACAUGCAAGUCGAGCGGGGUUUUCGGACCUAGCGGCGGACGGGUGAGUAAUGCGUAGGAAGCUACCCGAUAGAGGGGGAUACCAGUUGGAAACGACUGUUAAUACCGCAUAAUGUCUACGGACCAAAGUGUGGGACCUUCGGGCCACAUGCUAUCGGAUGCGCCUACGUGGGAUUAGCUAGUUGGUGGAGUAAUGGCUCACCAAGGCGACGAUCCCUAGCUGGUUUGAGAGGAUGAUCAGCCACACUGGAACUGAGACACGGUCCAGACUCCUACGGGAGGCAGCAGUGGGGAAUAUUGGACAAUGGGCGCAAGCCUGAUCCAGCCAUGCCGCGUGUGUGAAGAAGGCCUUCGGGUUGUAAGCACUUUCAGUAGGGAGGAAGGGUGUUGUGUUAAUAGCACAGCAUUUUGACGUUACCUACAGAAGAAGCACCGGCUAACUCUGUGCCAGCAGCCGCCGUAACAC
rnacentral:rRNA from 1 species